CAGAGGAGCAGGGCAGAUGGUCGUGUGCAAGAAUAGCAUCAUCAAACUGGAAAAACUCAGAGCCCAGGGGUACCCGGAGAGUCUAGAAGGAUUCACAAGCUCAGCCAGUUUGGAAGAGAAUCAGUUCCCAGGUCUUUGAUUGACAGAUGUGAUCAAUGAAAGACUCCCGAGCAGACACACGCAGCACGUGUCCAGCAUGCCGCCUGGAAACAGCAGGCUGGAAGAGGGAAGGGCAGAAGGCAAACAAGGCUGACAAUGAGUGCCUGUACAUCGGUGACAGUGGACAGCAAAUCGCAGUGGCCUUGUCUCCACGAAAGACACCUUGAAGCUGACAGAAACCAGAGAGAGAGAGAGAGAUGCAAGGAGCGGAGGAAGAGUGAUGAGCGAGACGGUGGACUCAGACAUCAGCCUGCAUGUGGUCCUUCUCCCGGUGAAGGCGGUCCCUGCGUUCCUUCGACAGCAGCAAGACAGAAAU